rnacentral:lncRNA from 1 species
AUUCAGUGUUUGGGUGAAGACGGAGGCGGGUUCUGGACAGACCUACGCUGUCGGGGAGUGUUUACUUCGCCUCCACUUCUGUUCCUCCCCGCCCUGGUGCUGCUCCAGGUCACAUACUCUUCCUGAGCCGGCUUCAGCCUCUCCGCGCAGAAGUCUCCCGGAGCCAUGGCCUAGUAUUCUUAUGUGAAGUCUACCAAGCUUGUGCUCAAGGGAACCGAGGUGAAGAGCUGGGUCCUGCAGCUCCGGCGGGAGCCUCCUCAGUUCUUUUCGGACGCACUCCACCCCCGCGAAUCCGGUGGAAGCCGUGAUGCGGAGAGCCGGCUUCGUGGCCUCCCAGGCUUCGCUCUGACCCUGUCUGGGCUGGAUGGAGGCCGGACCGCCCUUCCUGGCGCCUGUGCAGAGAGGGGCAGCCUCCUGCGCGGACGACCCUGGAAACAGGAUAGACGGGCGGGUGACCCGUGACCCCGUACCCACGAGUUUGGGUCCCUUGAGGCAUCUCUCCAGGCCUCUGCCUGAUUUGCCUGAGGUUGACUGUACAUGCAAAUAUUGAGCUUUCCUCCUGGCCUCCGUGAUAAACAGAAGUUUUGAUAUUGUUAGGCGAGAUGGAAAGAAAGUAUCAAGGAGUGAGCUGAAGCCACUGCCCUUGAGAACCCUCUCGAGGAGUCUGGCCUCAUGAAGAUGCCAGAAUAAAUGGCAGUAAGAAGAAAAAGAGCAAAGAUAAGAAGAGAAAAAGAGAAGAUGAAGAAACCCAGCUUGAUAUGUUGGAACCAUAGCCAUUGAAGUGGAUGAGGGAACCUAUAUACAUGCACUCAACAAUGGUCUUUUUACCCUGGGAGCUCCACACAAAGAAGAAUCGCCCUGAAACCUGGCUAUGGAAAAUAUCUUAGUAUAAAUUCAGAUGAACUUGUUGUUGGCGUUCAGAUGCAAUUGGACCAAGAGAACAAUGGGAACCAGUCUUUCAAAAUGGUGCCUGUGCAGCAGUAUUCACUGUGAUAGGAAGUGAGAAGCAGUCUGAGUGUUCAUUGCUGAGGGAAUCAAGGGCAAAAUAUCAUGGAUGCACUCAUGGACAAAUAAGCAGCAGUUUGAAGCAACACCCUAGAUGGAUGUACAGCCAUCAAGAGGAUCUUAAAGUGUGGUCUUUAGUGGAAAAAAAGCUUAUUUUGGGAGAGGCCAGCUGCCAUGUCAUGAAGACACUCAAGAAGCCCUGUGAAGAGGAAGCAAGGCCUGCCAACAACAGCCAGCACCAACUUUCCAGCCAAGGGAUUGAGCCAUCUCACAGUGGAUCCUCCAGCCCCCACCAAGCCUUCAUAUGACCAAACCAAUACCAACAUGUAACUGUGACCUCAUGUGAGUCCCCAAGCCAGAAUACCCAUCUCCUGUCUCAGAAAUGAUGAGAAAUAAUAAAUAUAUGUGCUCACACA